ACACACUUCUCACCCUGCAGCCCAGUUCCUUUUUAGGUUCAAAUCAGCAAGCUUGUUUGUGUCUGCAGAAUCCUGUUUCACAGCAAUUGCAAGGCAACACUAGUCCUGAGUGUCUGCUGUUAGUUUCUUGUCCCAACUUCUCUUCAUUGAAUAUUGGAGCAACUGCUGGCUAGGCUUUGGAUACAGCAGACUGACCUUGACCCUCAGGGAGCCCACAAUCUUCUGGGGGAAGAGAAGGUAUAUACCCAUCUCUUCUACCAGGAACUGAGUCACUUUGGGUGGGAAGGUGAUACAAAGAGAGAGAAGAAAAAUGAAUGAGUACCUGAUCAUCUCCAGAAAAGGGGUAAGAAAUCAGGACCAUCAAGCCUAGAGAAGUGGGUGAAAAGUGAUUUCCACCUGGACAAAGUCACUGCGUCCCUGUGCAGAGGCAGGCACCCUGACCCCAGCCUGAAAGCUGAAGUUGGCUCAAAGGAGGCAGUCUAUUGCAGGAAGUAUGGGCGGGUGACCUUGUGA
ensembl:lncRNA